GAUCCUGCCAGUAGUCAUAUGCUUGUCUCAAAGAUUAAGCCAUGCAUGUCUAAGUCCAAGCUGUGUCUUGACACGGCGAGACCGCGGACGGCUCAUUAAAUCAGUCGUUGUCCAAAUGGGCCAGUACUAAUUACUUGGAUAACUGUGGUAAUUCCAGAGCUAAUACAUGCAACUUAUACCCUGAUGCUUCUCGUUCGCGCGUUGCUGACGGGUGCUUUUAUUAGACCAAACCGCUGGGGCUCUCUUCACGGAGAGCCUGAUUUGCUAUGUGGUGACUCUGGAUAACCUUUUGAUGACAAGCGCACGUACCUCUCGUAGGACGGCGCUGCCACUUUCGAGUGUCUGCCUUAUCAGCUGUCAACCGCUCGCUAUACGCGACCGAUGGCUUUGACGGGUAACGGGGAAUCAGGGUUCGAUUCCGGAGAGGCAGCCUGAGAGACGGCUACCACGUCCAAGGACGGCAGCAGGCACGCAAAUUACCCAAUCCCAGCACAUCCUGGGGGAGGUAGUGACGAAACAUAACGAAGCGUGCGCCCUUCACGGGUCUCGCUAUCGGAAUGAGCACUUUUCUAAACACCCUGUUGAGAACCUACUGAAGGGCAAGUCUGGUGCCAGCAGCCGCG
rnacentral:rRNA from 1 species